rnacentral:tRNA from 1 species
UGCUCUCGUGGUCUAGUGGUUAGGACGCCACCCUCUCACGGUGGAAACCGCGGGUUCGACCCCCGCCGGGAGCGA